rnacentral:rRNA from 1 species
AACGAACGCUGGCGGCGUGCUUAAUACAUGCAAGUCGAGCGAGAAAAGGGGGGCAACUCCCUGAGUAAAGCGGCGCACGGGUGAGUAACACGUAGGUAACCUACCUCCGAGCCCGGAAUAACCUACCGAAAGGUUGGCUAAUACCGGAUAUGACCACGGGAGUCUCGGCUCCUGCGGUGAAAGAUGGCCUCUGCUUGCAAGCUAUCACUCGAAGAGGGGCCUGCGCGCCACUAGCUAGUUGGCGGGGUAAUGGCCCACCAAGGCUUUGAUGGCUAGCUGGUCUGAGAGGAUGGCCAGCCACACUGGGACUGAAACACGGCCCAGACUCCUACGGGAGGCAGCAGUAGGGAAUAUUGCGCAAUGGGCGAAAGCCUGACGCAGCGACGCCGCGUGGGUGAUGAAGGCC